CCUACGGGAGGCAGCAGUGGGGAAUAUUGCACAAUGGGCGCAAGCCUGAUCCAGCAAUGCCGCGUGAGUGAUGAAGGCCUUAGGGUUGUAAAGCUCUUUUACCCGGGAUGAUAAUGACAGUACCGGGAGAAUAAGCUCCGGCUAACUCCGUGCCAGCAGCCGCGGUAAU
rnacentral:rRNA from 1 species